rnacentral:rRNA from 1 species
UACGGAGGGUGCAAGCGUUGCUCGGAAUUAUUGGGCGUAAAGGGUAGGUAGGUGGUCUCGUUUGUCCGGGGUGAAAGCCCGGAGCUUAACUGGGGAACUGCGUCCGAUACUGGAUGGCUUGGAUUUGGGAGAGGGAUGCGGAAUUCCAGGUGUAGCGGUGAAAUGCGUAGAUAUCGGGAGGAACACCAGUGGCGAAGGCGACUUCCUGGCCUGUUCUUGACGCUGAGGCGCGAAAGCUAGGGUAGCAAACGGG